GACGAACGCUGGCGGCGUGCUUAACACAUGCAAGUCGAGCGGUAAGGCCCUUUUGGGGGUACACGAGCGGCGAACGGGUGAGUAACACGUGGGUGACCUGCCCUCAGCUCUGGGAUAAGCCUGGGAAACUGGGUCUAAUACUGGAUAUGACCUUUCCUCGCAUGGGGUUGGGUGGAAAGUUUUUCGGCUGGGGAUGGGCCCGCGGCCUAUCAGCUUGUUGGUGGGGUGAUGGCCUACCAAGGCGACGACGGGUAGCCGGCCUGAGAGGGCGACCGGCCACACUGGGACUGAGACACGGCCCAGACUCCUACGGGAGGCAGCAGUGGGGAAUAUUGCGCAAUGGGCGGAAGCCUGACGCAGCGACGCCGCGUGGGGGAUGACGGCC
rnacentral:rRNA from 1 species